AAAAGAUUACCGUUUAAAAAAUAGAGCUCAAGAGUGACCGCCCACUUUUUGAACGGCUCUGGUUCCGGAAGUGAUUUUCCCCGUUCAAUAUCUCCAUUGACGUUUCACAAAAUGCGUAUAUAAAGAGUUUUA